AAGUCGUAACAAGGUUUCCGUAGGUGAACCUGCGGAAGGAUCAUUAUCGAGUUUGAAGAAGGUUGUGCUGGCCUUUCGGGGCAUGUGCAUGCCUCACUCAUCCAACCCACACCUGUGCACCUCUUGUAGGUUGAUCUGUUGGGGGGCCACACUGGUCUCCUUCCGGCCUUCCUAUGUCUUUUAUAAAACCUGUCUGUAUAGAAUGUCUCUGCGCAAACAACGCAUUAAUAUAACUUUCAGCAACGGAUCUCUUGGCUCUC
rnacentral:misc_RNA from 1 species